CUGGUAGCGCAAAUUACAACUAUGGACAACCGCUUCCUAAUUACACCAAUCAAGUUUCAUAUAGUGAUGCUGCUUACACUCAGACAUCUGCUGGGCUACAAGGUUAUGGGCAGGAUGGAUAUUCUGGUGGUUAUAAUGCUUUGGCACCUCAACCUGGUUAUUCUCAGCCGGCAACAAAUCCCCAAACCGGGUAUGAUCAACAGGGAUAUGGCUCAACUCCUGGCUAUGGAACAGUAGCCAACCCAUCUCAAGAUGGGUCUGCCUCUGCUUAUGGUGCUCAGAGUGGGUCUACUCAAGCACCUCCAACGCAACAAGCUCCACCAAGUCAGCCUUCUGCUACCCAAGGGUACACAGGUCAACCACCAAGUAAUACCACUGCGAGCUAUCCUACCCAAGGAUCUACACCAUCAGCAUAUGGCAUUCCCCCGACAUCACAGCCAGGUUAUGGGAGUCAGCCCCCUGCUCUGACUGGAUAUGGUCAGGCACCACCACCUAGUUAUGGACAGCCUUCU
rnacentral:lncRNA from 1 species